rnacentral:rRNA from 1 species
CGUAGGGUGCGAGCGUUAAUCGGAAUUACUGGGCGUAAAGCGGGCGCAGACGGUUACUUAAGCAGGAUGUGAAAUCCCCGGGCUCAACCUGGGAACUGCGUUCUGAACUGGGUGACUAGAGUGUGUCAGAGGGAGGUAGAAUUCCACGUGUAGCAGUGAAAUGCGUAGAGAUGUGGAGGAAUACCGAUGGCGAAGGCAGCCUCCUGGGAUAACACUGACGUUCAUGCCCGAAAGCGUGGGGUAGCAAACAGGAUU